rnacentral:rRNA from 1 species
UACGUAGGGGGCAAGCGUUGUCCGGAAUCAUUGGGCGUAAAGAGCGCGUAGGCGGCCCAGUAAGUCCGCUCUGAAAGUCAGAGGCUCAACCUCUGAAUGCGGGUGGAUACUGCUGGGCUAGAGUCCGGAAGAGGCGAGUGGAAUUCCUGGUGUAGCGGUGAAAUGCAUAGAUAUCAGGAGGAACACCAGCGGCGAAGGCGGCACUCUGGGCUGGAACUGACGCUGAGGAGCGAAAGCGUGGGGAGCGAACAGG